UUAAAUCAGUCGUGGUCUACGUGGUCGUGCGGCGACGAGAGUCGUCAGAGGUGGAUAACCGUGGAAAAGCUAGAGCUAAUACAUGCAAGCGAGCGCCGACUUCGGGAGGCGUGCAUUUAUCAGACCGCGCGUCGGCCGAGCGCCGCGUCGAUGUUCGGGCCGCGAGGCCCGGCGUUAUCGGACGGCGCUCGUCGAUGGUGGUGACUCUGGAUAACUUAUCGUGCUGAUCGCCGGUCCCAUUGUAGAGACCGGGCGACGAACCACUCGAGCGUCUGACCUAUCAACUGUUGUCGGUAAGGUCUCGGCCUACCGAGGUGCUCACGGGUGACGGGGAAUCAGGGUUCGAUUCCGGAGAGGGAGCCCGAGAAACGGCUGCCACUUCCAAGGAAGGCAGCAGGCGCGCAAAUUACCCAUUUCAGA
rnacentral:rRNA from 1 species